rnacentral:rRNA from 1 species
UACGUAGGGGGCGAGCGUUGUCCGGAAUUAUUGGGCGUAAAGAGCGUGUAGGCGGUUCGGUAAGUCUGCCGUGAAAACCUGGGGCUCAACCCCGGGCGUGCGGUGGAUACUGCCGGGCUAGAGGGUGGUAGAGGCGAGUGGAAUUCCUGGUGUAGCGGUGGAAUGCGCAGAUAUCAGGAGGAACACCAACGGCGAAGGCAGCUCGCUGGGACGGUACUGACACUGAGGCGCGAAAGCGUGGGGAGCGAACAGG